AAAUAGCGGAGUCAGUAUACUAUGUAUAAGAAGGAGAAGGAGGAGGUAAAGGAGGAGGAGGUAAAGGAGGAGGAGGAGGAGGAGGAGCCGAGAGAGAGAAGUAUGUAAGAGCGACAGAAACAGGGAGGAUAGAAGGAGGGACAGGGAAAGAAGUAGCGCGCGCGAAAAAGAGAGAGAGCGAAAUUACGAACAAGGGAGAAGAAGCGGAGGAGAAAGGAAAGACGAGGAGGGCUGAGAAGGAAGAGGAGAAGUAGGAAAGGAGAGGAAGAGAGAAGGGGGAAGAAAAAGAAAGAAGGAGGGAAGGAGAAAAAGGAAAGAGAGAUAGAGGAAGGGAAAGGCAGGAAAAUUAGACACUGAGAGGAAGAGAGAAAGGAGAAAGAAAGAGAGAGGG